AUUGAACGCUAGCGGGAUGCCUUACACAUGCAAGUCGAACGAGUGGGAACGGGUGAGUAACACGUGGGUAACCUCCCAUCAGAGGGGAUAACACUUGGAAACAGAUGCUAAACAGAUCCUGAUGGAGGGACCCGGGGUGCAUUAGCUAGUUGGUGAGGUAACGGCUAACCAAGGCCACGAUGCAUAGCCGACCUGAGAGGGUGAUCAGCCACACUGGGACUGAGACACGGUCCAGACUCCUACGGGAGGCAGCAGUGGGGAAUCUUCGGCAAUGGACGAAAGUCUGACCGAGCAAUGCCGCGUGUGUGAAGAAGGUUUUCGGAUCGUAAAGCUCUGUUGUUAGAGAAGCGGUAUCUAACCAGAAAGCCACGGCUAACUACGUGCCAGCCGCCGCGGUAAUAC
rnacentral:rRNA from 1 species